UUCGGUGAUCUGAAUGAUAUCAUGUGUGAUACGGAAACUACUUCUCUCAAUGUGAAUAAGAACCGUAUGCAUGCUGUCAAUAACUAUGUCAAGCAAUGUGGUCUGUUUGAUCUGGGGUUUAGUGGGCCGGCUUAUACUUGGACAAAUAUGCGGUUCUCCUCAAGACCUAUCUUUGAAAGGCUUGAUCGUUGUCUUGCCAAUGCAGAUUGGUGUGUUAUGUUUCCUAAUACUAAUAUUUUUAAUUUACCAAUCAUUCAUUCACUGAGUGAUCAUGCACCUAUUCUGAUAUCCACUGAUUCUCAGUUUCGUAGGCCUAAAGAUUUCCAGGGCAUUGCUAAAAAUGCUUGGGACUCCUCGGUUAAUAGACCAUUCCAUGUCAGAACCAAUAACCUUGCAGGGACUUUGAAAAGGUGGUGCAAAAAGAAAAAACCUUUA
rnacentral:rRNA from 1 species